rnacentral:lncRNA from 1 species
UCAGAGUGGCAGUAGUGGUGCCCAGAGUUUAGUUCAGACUGCACCUCGUAGUUCAUUUGUUUCAUCUGGGGAUAGUUCUUUGUGUCAGCACUGUGGAGGAGGUCAUAACAGUGCAGAGUGCUACAGAAGGACUGGGGCUUGUUUUAGUUGUGGCCAGAUAGGUCAUAAGAUUAGAGAGUGCCCGAGGAGACAGUUGUCCACUUCGGGGUUAUCUGCUUCAGUCCAGCAGCCUAUUCAGGCACCAUCGACGAGCCAGUCUGUGGCUCAUGGGGGUAGAGGUUUUGGUGGCCGUGGUCAAAGAGGUCGGGGUGCAGGUGAUAGAGGUCAGAUACAGCAGGGUCAGGGGCAUGCCAGAGUUUUUGCCUUGACUCAGCAGGAUGCUCAGGCAUCCAACACAGUUGUUUCAGGUAUUCUUCCUGUUUGCUCUUUUGAAGCAAAAGUUUUGUUUGAUACGGGUGCAACUCAUUCGUUUGUGUCCCCAUAUUUUGCCAUGAGGUUAGAUAAACAACCAACCUUGUUAAAAUCCCCCAUUUCAGUCUCCACUCCCUUAGAUGAGUUAAUAUUAGUAAAGUAUGUGUAUCUGGAUUGUGAAAUAGAGAUUGGAGAUAAGAUCUUUAUGGGAGACUUAAAUGUCUUAGAUAUGGUUGAUUUUGAUGUGAUUUUGGGAAUGGAUUGGUUGGCUAAGCAUAGGGCUUCGGUAAAUUGUUGGGGUAAGAAAAUAAUGUUUGAUCUAGAUCAAGAAGUUGGGUUGGUAUUUCAAGGAGAUAAGAUUGGGUCUCCAUCAAUUAUGUUGUCGGCUAUCUCGAGGAAAAUGGCCCGAAAAGGGGUACAGUGCUACCUAGCAUAUAUAGUGGAUGUAGAGAAAGAAGUUCCCCAGUUAGAGGAAGUCCCUAUAGUAGAGAGUUUAUCGAUGUCUUUCCUGAUGACUUACCUGGAUUGCCUCCGUAUAGGGAGAUUGAGUUUUGUAUUGAUUUGGUUCCGGGCACUGAACCAAUAUCAAUGGCACCAUAUAGAAUGGCGCCAGCAGAAUUGAGGAGUUAAAGGAGCAGCUGCAGGAUUUAUUGGAUAAAAAGUUCAUCCGACCAAGUGUGUCCCCUUGGGGAGCUCCGGUGUUGUUUGUGAAGAAGAAAGAUGGGUCAUUGAGGUUGUGUAUAGAUUAUAGGCAAUUGAAUCGGGUGACAGUUCGAAAUAGAUACCCACUCCCUCGUAUAGAUGAUUUGUUUGAUCAGUUACAGGGAGCUCAAUUCUUUUCUAAGAUCGAUCUUCGAUCUGGGUAUCAUCAGUUGAGGAUUAGGGAGGAGACAUUUCAAAGACAGCUUUUAGAACUCGGUAUGGUCAUUAUGAGUUUUUAGUGAUGUCUUUUGGGUUGACGAAUGCACCAGCAGCUUUUAUGGACUUGAUGAAUAGAGUGUUUGGCCAAUUUAUUGAUCGAUUUGUGAUAGUUUUUAUUGAUGAUAUUUUGGUGUAUUCGAGGUCUAGAGAGGAGCAUGAGCAGCAUUUGAGAAUGGUGCUUCAAACUCUGCGAGAUCAUCAGUUGUAUGGCAAGUUCUCAAAGAGUGAGUUUUGGUUGGAGAGUGUAGCAUUUCUUGGGCAUGUAGUGUCAAGGAAUGGGAUUGAGGUUGAUCCUCAAAAGAUUGAAGCAGUUAAGCAGUGGCUUAGGCCUACUUCGGCGACAGAGAUUAGAAGUUUCUUAGGUUUGGCCGGCUACUAUCGGAGGUUUGUGGAGAACUUUUCUCGAAUUUCUGCACCAUUGACUAAGUUAACGCAGAAAAAUGUUAAGUUUCAGUGGUCUGAAGCUUGUGAGAAAAGUUUCUUAGAGUUGAAGGAGAGAUUGACUACAGCCUAUUCUAGCAGUACCAUCAGGUUCUGGUGGUUACACAGUGUAUUGUGAUGCUUCGAGAGUGGGGUUAGGAUGUGUUCUAAUGCAGCAUGGCAAGGUUAUUGCCUAUGCUUCACGGCAGCUGAAGAAGCAUGAACAGAACUAUCCUACACAUGAUUUAGAGAUGGCGGCUGUAAUUUUUGCUUUGAAGAUUUGGAGGCACUACUUGUAUGGUGAAACUUGUGAGAUCUUUACAGAUCACAAGAGUUUGAAAUACAUCUUUCAGCAAAGGGAUCUAAACCUGAGGCAGAGGAGAUGGAUGGAACUACUGAAGGAUUAUGAUUGUACCAUACAGUACCACCCGGGUAGGGCAAAUGUAGUUGCCGAUGCUUUGAGUAGAAAAUCAUCAGGGAGCUUAGCUCAUAUUCAGGAGGUACGAAGACCUCUGAUUAGGGAGCUGCAUGAGUUAGUGGAUGAAGGAGUCAGAUUUGAUCUUAGUGAAGCUGGAGCAAUGAUUGCUCAUUUUCAGGUUAAGUCAGAUUUGUUUGAUAAGAUAAAAGCAGCUCAGAAGAAAGAUGAUUCACUACUCAGGAUUAGAAAUGAGGUUGAGCAGGGUAAGGCUGCAAGUUUUGUGAUUGGUGAUGAUGAUGUGCUGAGAUAUAGGGAUAGGCUUUGUGUACCUGAUGUUGAUGAUCUGAGGAGAGAAUUGAUGAUAGAGGCACAUCAGACAGUUUACACAAUGCAUCCAGGUUCCACCAAGAUGUAUAAAGACCUUAAGGUGUGUUAUUGGUGGAAUAGGAUGAAGGCUGAUGUAGCAGAUUUUGUUUCUAGGUGUUUGACCUGUCAGAGGGUAAAGGGUGAACACCAGAAACCUCCUGGAUUGUUACAACCAUUGUUGAUUCCAGAAUGGAAGUGGGAAAGGAUCACAAUGGACUUUGUGACAGGAUUGCCUAGGAGUCAGGAGGGUUAUGAUUCGAUAUGGGUGAUUGUUGACAGGUUGACAAAAUCAGCCCAUUUUCUGCCAGUUAAGAUUACUUAUGGAUAUGCAAAGUUGGCGGAAUUGUUUAUUAGUGAGAUUGUACGGUUGCAUGGAGUGCCAAUCUCGAUAGUGUCUGAUAGAGGUCCACAGUUUACAUCGCGGUUUUGGGUGAAAUUUCAAGAAGCUAUGGGUACUAAGGUGCAGUUGAGUACAGCUUUUCACCCUCAGACAGAUGGUCAGUCUGAGAGGACUAUUCAGACCUUGGAGGAUAUGUUAAGGGCUUGUGUUAUGGAUUUUGGAGUUGGUUGGAGUAAGUUCCUACCAUUAGUGGAAUUUGCUUACAACAACAGUUAUCAGGCUAGCAUAGAGAUGGCACCUUAUGAGGCUUUGUAUGGUCGGAAGUGUAGAUCACCAGUUUGUUGGUUUGAGGUUGGUGAGAAGAGGCUAAUGGGACCGGAGUUGAUUCAGAUUACCUCAGAGAAGAUUGAGGUAAUUAGAAAGAAGCUUCAAACAGCUCAGAGUAGACAUAAAAGUUACGCAGAUAGAAGAAGGCGUGACUUAGAGUUUUCAGUGGGUGAUUGUGUGUUCUUAAAAGUAUCACCUACAAAAGGAGUAUUCAGGUUUGGGAAGAAAGGCAAGUUGAGUCCUCGAUUCAUUGGACCGUAUGAGAUUCUGGAGAGAGUUGGGGCAGUUGCUUAUCGGUUAGCAUUACCACCAAACUUGUCUGCUAUUCAUCCGGUAUUUCAUGUUUCCAUGUUAAGGAAAUAUAUGUCAGAUCCAUCGCAUGUGUUAGAGGUUCAUCCUAUUGACUUGAGGGAUGAUAUGGUUUAUGAGGUGCAACCGGAAGCUAUAGUCGACCGACAAGUGAGGAAGCUUAGGUCGAAGGACAUAGCUUCAGUGAAAGUGAAAUGGAAAGGCCAUUCACGUGAGGAAGCGACAUGGGAGCUCGAGGAUAAGAUGCGUGAGGAGUAUCCUCAUCUUUUCGAUAAUCUCGGUAAGUAUCAAUCUUUUCUAUUAAGUUUCGAGGACGAAACUUUUAUAAGGUGGGGAGAUUGUAAUGUUUUGAAAUUAAUAAGAUAGGAAUUACAACAAAGCCCUUGGAGGCUUAAAAGUUGGAAUAAAUGAAUAAGGGGUAUUAUGGUAAUUGAACAAAAAUUGAUAAAUAUAAAUAGGAAGUAAAAAAAAAAAAGUGAUCUGAAAUUAGAGAGAGAACCGUGAGAGAGAAAGAGAAAGAAGAAGAAGAGAAAAGAAGGGAAAAUAAGGGAAAAAAGGAGAGAUUUGGAGGAAAUAAGUGAAAAAGGUAAGAUUUAGGUUGUUUAAUGUGUAUAAUAUGUUAAUUAAGCUUUAAUUUCAGUUUUUAUGAAUGUUAGGGUUUUGAGAAUUUGUGUUUGAUUUAAAUUGAUGAAUUAAAUUGAAGGUUAGGGGUUGAUUGUUGUGUUUAAUUGAUGAUUUAGUUGAUUAUGGAAGAUUAUGAUGAUUUUGAGUUAUAGAAUUGUGUAAAUGGUGAAAUUGAGUUAGAAAUCAGGGGAGAACAGUGGGGUUUCUGUUAAAAUCUGGACUGGAGGUUGAAGAUGACGAAAAUUCAAUUUGGUCCCUCAAUUUCCGAAAAUUACAGUUUAGUCCCCGAACUUUGGAAAAUUACAAAUUGGUCCCUGGAGCAUAUUCCGAGAUUCUGAACAGAAUAACAUAUGAAUUAUGGACAUAAUUACUGUAUAGAUAAGAUAAUUUAACACUUUCAAUUUAGUCCUCCAAUUUGAAAAAAGUACGAUUUGACCCUAAAAAUUUAGUAAAAUUCCAGAAUGAUCCCUGAAGCAUAAUGAUACAUCCUGGACAGAAUUGAGGAUUAAUUAAGGUCAGAAUUUCAGUAUAUUCAUGGAUUUAUGACAAAUUUCAGUUUGGUCCUCCAUUUGAAAAAGUUACAAUUUGGCCCUAAAAAUAUGAAAAAUUCCAGAUUAGUCCCUAGCUGUAAUAUUAGCUUUUUCAGAUUAGUUUGAUGAAUAAUUAAGGGUUAUUUAGUGAAUUAUUACCAAUUUUAUUAGUUGUUUUUAUUAUGGAUUAGAUUUCGGGAAAACCGUUAGAUUUUGGGUUUUUAAGAAAAUUGACUAGUUAGUUCAAAAACAUAUAGGGUUACAGAAUACACCCUUAGUUAAGUGUAUUAAAUAGGUUAAAUGUUCUUUCGAGUCGUUUUUGAAUAUGUCUCCUUUGUAUUCAGAUAAUCCUGAUAUUCUAUCGGCAGGACGUCAGUAGAAUUUCUUUCGGUUUCAGCUUGUGUGUGCAGUUUGCUUUUGAGUCA